UUUAUGGAGAGUUUGAUCCUGGCUCAGGAUGAACGCUGGCGGCGUGCCUAAUACAUGCAAGUCGAGCGAACGGACGAGAAGCUUGCUUCUCUGAUGUUAGCGGCGGACGGGUGAGUAACACGUGGAUAACCUACCUAUAAGACUGGGAUAACUUCGGGAAACCGGAGCUAAUACCGGAUAAUAUUUUGAACCGCAUGGUUCAAAAGUAAAAGACGGUCUUGCUGUCACUUAUAGAUGGAUCCGCGCUGCAUUAGCUAGUUGGUAAGGUAACGGCUUACCAAGGCAACGAUGCAUAGCCGACCUGAGAGGGUGAUCGGCCACACUGGAACUGAGACACGGUCCAGACUCCUACGGGAGGCAGCAGUAGGGAAUCUUCCGCAAUGGGCGAAAGCCUGACGGAGCAACGCCGCGUGAGUGAUGAAGGUCUUCGGAUCGUAAAACUCUGUUAUUAGGGAAGAACAUAUGUGUAAGUAACUGUGCACAUCUUGACGGUACCUAAUCAGAAAGCCACGGCUAACUACGUGCCAGCAGCCGCGGUAAUACGUAGGUGGCAAGCGUUAUCCGGAAUUAUUGGGCGUAAAGCGCGCGUAGGCGGUUUUUUAAGUCUGAUGUGAAAGCCCACGGCUCAACCGUGGAGGGUCAUUGGAAACUGGAAAACUUGAGUGCAGAAGAGGAAAGUGGAAUUCCAUGUGUAGCGGUGAAAUGCGCAGAGAUAUGGAGGAACACCAGUGGCGAAGGCGACUUUCUGGUCUGUAACUGACGCUGAUGUGCGAAAGCGUGGGGAUCAAACAGGAUUAGAUACCCUGGUAGUCCACGCCGUAAACGAUGAGUGCUAAGUGUUAGGGGGUUUCCGCCCCUUAGUGCUGCAGCUAACGCAUUAAGCACUCCGCCUGGGGAGUACGACCGCAAGGUUGAAACUCAAAGGAAUUGACGGGGACCCGCACAAGCGGUGGAGCAUGUGGUUUAAUUCGAAGCAACGCGAAGAACCUUACCAAAUCUUGACAUCCUUUGACAACUCUAGAGAUAGAGC
rnacentral:rRNA from 1 species